CCUACGGGAGGCAGCAGUGAGGAAUAUUGGUCAAUGUGCGGGAGCCUGAACCAGCCAAGUCGCGUGAGGGAAGACGGUCCUAUGGAUUGUAAACCUCUUUAGGCGGGGAGCAAGGCCGGGCACGCGUGCCCGGAGGGAGAGUACCCGCAGAAGAAGCAGCGGCUAACUCCGUGCCAGCAGCCGCGGUACUACGGAGGAUGCGAGCGUUAUCCGGAUUGAUUGGGUUGAAAGGGUGCGUAGGCGGAUUUUUAAGUCAGCGGUACAAUGUCCGGGCUCAACCCGGGCCGGCCGUUGAAACGGGGGAUCUUGAGUGGGCGAGAAGUAUGCGGAAUGCGUGGUGUAGCGGU
rnacentral:rRNA from 1 species